AUUGAACGCUGGCGGCAGGCCUAACACAUGCAAGUCGAACGGUAACAGGAAGCAGCUUGCUGCUUUGCGGACGAGUGGCGGACGGGUGAGAAUUGUCUGGGAAACUGCCCGAUGGAGGGGGAUAACUACUGGAAACGGUAGCUAAUACCGCAUAACGUCUCAAGCCCAAAGAGGGGGACCUUAGGGCCUCUUGCCAUCGGAUGUGCCCAGAUGGCAGUAGCUAGUAGGUGGGGUAACGGCUCACCUAGGCGACGAUCCCUAGCUGGUCUGAGAGGAUGAACAGCCACACUGGAACUGAGACACGGUCCAGACUCCUACGGGAGGCAGCAGUGGGGAAUAUUGCACAAUGGGCGCAAGCCUGAUGCAGCCAUGCCGCGUGUAUGAAGAAGGCCUUCGGGUUGUAAAGUACUUUCAGCGGGGAGGAAGGGAGUAAAGUUAAUACAUUUGCUCAUUGACGUUACCCGCAGAAGAAGCACCGGCUAACUCCGUG
rnacentral:rRNA from 1 species